AGUUCUUGUUCCCCAAACGAUGCUUGAGGAAUGCUACUACCAUCGCAAUAAACAGUUUCCGGUGCUGCGCUGAGGAACAGAUAUGCUAGUCAAAUUCUCAUCAGUACGAAUCAAGAGAAUGAACCUCGGCCUCGGAUGCUGGAGAACAUCCUGGUACCUUUGCACGUCUUUAUGGUGUUUAUAUGGUUUACAAGAAAUUGCAGCCAAUUUUCGCCGUUGAACGAAAAUAAAUGUUGUUUGCCUGUCUUCACUUUCUGGAUUCCAGUUU
rnacentral:misc_RNA from 1 species